UCUGCAGCAGUUAAGGGUGCUCAGUGGACCCCCUGGGUCACUCUCCAAGGAGUAUGUUGGCUGUGCGACAGAGACACUUGGAAGGUUGCUCUGCAGCCACUGACUCCUUCAGAGUCAGAGGCAGUUCUCACCUUACUGAAGUUUUCCUCAAGCUGAUGCUUCUCUAAUAAAAUCAGCAAUGUUGUUUUUAUUUCUCUCAAGUGGCAGGACAGAAAGGCAGCAGCCAUUUCAAAAACAUACACUUUAAUUGUAUUAAAAAAUACCCAUAUUUUAGUAAGCAGUUUCUCCUCACAGCCACAGCCCUAUUGAAGCAGCCACACAUCUGCAAGAUGCAGACAACAUCAGAACUGUUAUAACUACAACCAGCCUGCUGCAAGAGGUGAGAUGCACCUAAGAGACUCCAGUGGAGACAUAUAUGGCUGCAUCUGGCUUGUCAAAUUGAAAGGAAGAUGACCUGAAGAGGAAGGGUCAGUUUGGUUCUUGGAUCCCUUGAGGAAGAGAGCUGACUAUGGAAUUGUGUUAACCAUGAUGUUUCAUAAUAUACCAAACCAGUGCAACAUAAAAUCAGUGAAAGAGGCUCAGCUCUCUAA